CCCUUAGAUGUUCUGGGCCGCACGCGCGCUACACUGAGUGUCUGAGAUACGAGUCUGCCUGGUCCGGCAAGGUCUAGGUAAUCGCUAAAAGACACAUCAUGCUUGGGAUAGAUUAUUGCAAAUAUUAAUCUUGAACGAGGAAUUCCUAGUAAGCGCAAGUCAACAGCUUGCGUUGAUUACGUCCCUGCCCUUUGUACACACCGCCCGUCGCUACUACUGAUUGGAUGUUUAAGCGAGGUUCUCGAACUGCUAGCGACUUAGCUUCGGUGAGGUCGCAGUGUGGGAAGUGAACCUAACUUUGGUGUCUAGAGGAAGUAAAAGUCGUAACA
rnacentral:rRNA from 1 species